rnacentral:rRNA from 1 species
AAUUUUAAUAUUAUUAUAUUUUGAAAAUUUUAAUAAAAUUACUUAAUUUUGAAUUUAUGAUAAAUUAUUAGUACUAAAGGGGAAAUAAAAUUAUUAUUUAAAAGUAAAAUUAAUUUUUUGUAUUAUGUGUAUCUUAGUUUAUUAAAUUUUUUAAAGUAAUUUAAUUUCUCGAAUUAAAAAGAACUAAUUCUUUAAUAUUAUAUAUGUUUAAAAAUAUUAAUUAAUAAAGAAUUAGUAGUAAAAUGCUUAACGAUUUUUAAUAUAUCUAGUUUAAAAAGAAAUGAAUUAAAUUCAAGUUUUAGAAAAAAAUAAAAUUUAAUUAAUUAAAUUUUAUUUUCUAAAAGUAAAUAAUUUUAGGGAUAAGCUUAAAAUUAAAAAUUUAAAAAUUUCUUAAAAAUUGUUAGAAUAUAGGAAUAAAAUUAUUUUUUUUUAAUAAUUUAAUAUUUGACUAAUGGAAAUAAGUAUUUUUUUUUAUUAAAUUUGUAUUUUUAUAUUAAUUUAAACUUUUUAAAUUAAUUAAAACUGAUAAAAUUAGUAAAAUAUUUUAUAAACUUAUAAGUUUUAAAAAUUAAUUUUCAAGAAUUCGGCAAUAUAUUUUCUGCUUGUUUAUUAAAAACAUGGUUUUUUGAAUAUUUUUUAAGAUUGAACCUGCUCAAUGAAAUUUAAAUAGCUGCAGUAUUUUGACUGUACAAAGGUAGCAAAAUAAAUAGUUUAUUAAUUGUAAACUAGAAUGAAGGGUUUGACAAGAAAAUAACUUUCUAAAGAUUAAUAAUUGAAAUUAACUGAAAAGUAAAAAGGCUUUUAUAUGUAUAAGGGACAAGAAGACCCUAUAGAGUUUUAUAAUUUUUAUUAAAAAUUAAUGAUAAAUUUUUAUCAAAUUAUUUAAUUGGGGUGAUUCAAAAAUUUAAAAAACUUUUUGUUAAUAAAACAUAUAUUAUAUUUGAAAUUUGGAUAAAUUUUUAUAAUUUUAGAAAAAUUACCUUAGGGAUAACAGCAUAAUUUUCAAAGAAGUUCAUAUUUAAAUGAAAGUUUAUGACCUCGAUGUUGGAUUAAAAAAUAUUUUUAAUGUAUAAGUUAAAAAUUUAGGUCUGUUCGACCUUUUGAAUUUUACAUGAUCUGAGUUUAGACCGGCGUAAGCCAGGUUAGUUUCUAUCUUUAUAAAAUUCAUAAUUUUUAGUACGAAAGGACCAAAAUUA